AUUGAACGCUGGCGGCAGGCCUAACACAUGCAAGUCGAGCGGAUCGGCUGACGGGUGAGUGAUUCCUAGGAAUCUGCCUGGUAGUGGGGGAUAACGUCCGGUAACGGGAGCUAAUACCGCAUACUAUCAGAUGAACCUAGUUCGGAUUUGCUAGUUGGUGGGGUAAAGGGCUACCUAGGCGGCGAUCCGUAACUGGUCUGAGUGGAUGAUCAGUCACACUGGAACUGGUACACGGUCCAGACUCCUGCGGGAGGCAGCAGUGGGGAAUAUUGGACAAUGGGCGAAAGCCUGAUCCAGCCAUGCCGCGUGUGUGAAGAAGGUCUUCGGAUUGUAAAGCACUUUAAGUUGGGAGGCGUUACCAACAGAAUAAGCACCGGCUAACUUCGUGCCAGCAGCCGCGGUAAUAC
rnacentral:rRNA from 1 species